rnacentral:rRNA from 1 species
CCCUUAGAUGUUCUGGGCGGCCCGCGCACUACAAUGGCGUGUGCAGCGAGUGCCGAAGUAGAGUUUUCCGAGGUAUUCUUGCAAUGCUCGUUUUGAUGGGGAUAGACCCUUGCAACUGUCGGUUUUGAACGAGGAAUUCCUUGUAAGCAUGGUUUAUCAUCCGACGCUGAAUGCGUCCCUGCCCUUUGUACACACCGCCCGUCGCUCCUACCGAUGAGUCGUCCGGUGAAGUUCGUAGACCUCGUGAUUGCGGAUCACUGGGGGAAGCAAAAUGAACCUCGCGGUUUAGAGGAAGGAGAAGUCGUAACA